rnacentral:rRNA from 1 species
GACGAACGCUGGCGGCGUGCUUAACACAUGCAAGUCGAACGGAAAGGCCCUUCGGGGUACUCGUGUGGCGAACGGGUGAGUAACACGUGGGUGAUCUGCCCUGCACUUUGGGAUAAGCCUGGGAAACUGGGUCUAAUACCGAAUAUGAUCAUCGGCUUCAUGGUCGGUGGUGGAAAGCUUUUGCGGUGUGGGAUGGGCCCGCGGCCUAUCAGCUUGUUGGUGGGGUAAUGGCCUACCAAGGCGACGACGGGUAGCCGGCCUGAGAGGGUGACCGGCCACACUGGGACUGAGAUACGGCCCAGACUCCUACGGGAGGCAGCAGUGGGGAAUAUUGCACAAUGGGCGCAAGCCUGAUGCAGCGACGCCGCGUGAGGGAUGACGGCCUUCGGGUUGUAAACCUCUUUCAGCACAGACGAAGCGCAAGUGACGGUAUGUGCAGAAGAAGGACCGGCCAACUACGUG